rnacentral:rRNA from 1 species
UACGUAGGGGGCAAGCGUUGUCCGGAAUCAUUGGGCGUAAAGCGCGUGUAGGCGGCUGGGUAAGUCCGCUCUGAAAGCCCGGGGCUCAACCCCGGGAGGCGGGUGGAUACUGCUCCGCUCGAGUCCGGAAGAGGAGUGUGGAAUUCCUGGUGUAGCGGUGAAAUGCGCAGAUAUCAGGAGGAACACCAAUGGCGAAGGCAGCACUCUGGGACGGUACUGACGCUGAGACGCGAAAGCGUGGGGAGCAAACAGG